UUGGCGGAGGCUCCUCCAGGGACUGGGGCACCGAUCUGCGUAGAAACGGGUGGCGGGGAAGAGAGGGGAGGAGAGCUCUGAGUGGGAAGCGGAGCCGGGGGCCUGGGACCCGUCGCGUCAGAGCCAGGCAAGUGAACCGGAGCAAACGACUUCCGAUCCAGUCUGCGCUGUUGCGGCUCCCGUUUGGGAUUUGAUUUGCAGCAUCUUUGAGCCUCUACGACAAAAAACCGCGAAGCACGCCCAGCCCUCCCCCGGCACCCCGAAAAGCACCCACUCCCUCCCGGGGACACAGCUGGGCGCGUCCACACCCCCGCAGCCCCACACCAUGUUGUGCGGAAGGACUUCCACUCCCCGCCUGUGUCGUUGAUGUCAGACCCCAGGCCAGCCUCCGGGCGCUGCAGUUCUCCCGGCUAAUGCUGAGGCUGCGGCUCCGGCUCUAGCACAGGCACCAGCCGCCGCCGCACCCGGCCCCAGCGCCCACCGUCUGCAUGUGCCCGCCGUAGCCGUCUGCCCAGCCCGCAGCCCGCGCUCCACGGAGCGCUGGAGACCACCGUGGGGGGCCCCUUCUGCCCUC
rnacentral:lncRNA from 1 species